GAACCUUCGGGGAACGAUAACGGCGUCGAGCGGCGGACGGGUGAGUAAUGCCUAGGAAAUUGCCCUGAUGUGGGGGAUAACCAUUGGAAACGAUGGCUAAUACCGCAUAAUGCCUACGGGCCAAAGAGGGGGACCUUCGGGCCUCUCGCGUCAGGAUAUGCCUAGGUGGGAUUAGCUAGUUGGUGAGGUAAGGGCUCACCAAGGCGACGAUCCCUAGCUGGUCUGAGAGGAUGAUCAGCCACACUGGAACUGAGACACGGUCCAGACUCCUACGGGAGGCAGCAGUGGGGAAUAUUGCACAAUGGGCGCAAGCCUGAUGCAGCCAUGCCGCGUGUGUGAAGAAGGCCUUCGGGUUGUAAAGCACUUUCAGUCGUGAGGAAGGUAGUGUAGUUAAUAGCUGCAUUAUUUGACGUUAGCGACAGAAGAAGCACCGGCUAACUCCGUGCCAGCAGCCGCGGUAAUACGGAGUGUGCGAGCGUUAAUCGGAAUUACUGGGCGUAAAGCGCAUGCAGGUGGUUUGUUAAGUCAGAUGUGAAAGCCCGGGGCUCAACCUCGGAAUUGCAUUUGAAACUGGCAGACUAGAGUACUGUAGAGGGGGGUAGAAUUUCAGGUGUAGCGGUGAAAUGCGUAAAGAUCUGAAGGAAUACCGGUGGCGAAGGCGGCCCCCUGGACAGAUACUGACACUCAGAUGC
rnacentral:rRNA from 1 species